AACUGCUGCACAAGGAGUGUUCGAUUGGACUCCUUUUCACACAAUGAACAACCAGCUUAGAACUGAUGCGGGCAAGGGGGAUCCGACUGUUUAAUUGAAACAAAGUAUUGCGAUGCCCUGAAAGGAUGUUGACACAAUGUGAUUUCUGCCCAGUGCUCUGAAUGUCAAAGUGAGGAGAUUCAACUAAGCGCGGGUAAACGGCGGGAGUAACUAUGACUCUCUUAAGGUAGCCAAAUGCCUCGUCAUCCAAUUAGUGACGCGCAUGAAUGGAUUAAUGAGAUUCCUACUGUCCCAAUCUACUGUCCAGCGAAACCACAGCCAAGGGAACGGGCUUGGGUGAGUCAGCGGGGAAAGAAGACCCUGUUGAGCUUGACUCUAAUCCGACUUUGUGAAAUGACUUAGGAGGAGUAGGAUAUGUGGGAGCUCAGGUGAUCUUGAAAUACCACUACUUUUAAUGUCACUUUACUUACUCUAUCCAACUGUGCCCUGCCUCACAGCAGGUUUUUGCUUUUAAGGUUGCUCUUUUGGCGUGUUGAUUUGCGUAGAAGACGUCGUCCGGUGGGGAGUUUGGCUGGGGCGGCACAU
rnacentral:rRNA from 1 species